rnacentral:rRNA from 1 species
ACGCUGGCGGCGCGCUUAAUACAUGCAAGUCGAACGAGAAGCCAGAGCUUGCUCUGGUGGAAAGUGGCGAACGGGUGAGUAACACGUGAGAAACCUGCCCCAAAGAUUGGGAUAAGCCUUGGAAACGAGGUCUAAUACCAAAUACCUUCCUUUUAACACAUGUUAAAAAGAAGAAAUGCUCCGGCGCUUUGGGAUGGUCUCGCGAUCUAUCAGCUUGUUGGUGAGGUAACGGCUCACCAAGGCAUCGACGGAUAGCUGGUCUGAGAGGAUGUCCAGCCACAUUGGAACUGAGACACGGUCCAAACUCCUACGGGAGGCAGCAGUAGGGAAUCUUGCACAAUGAAGGAAACCUUGAUGCAGCGACGCCGCGUGCGGGACGAAGGCCCUAGGGUUGUAAACCGCUUUCAGUAGGGACGAAAGUGACGGUACCUACAGAAGAAGCCCCGGCCAACUAUGUG